UUGCUGGAGGACUAGUGGUUAGGCUUCAGCGCUCUCACCACUGUGGCCCAGGUUCGAUUCCUGGCUAGGGAA
rnacentral:tRNA from 1 species